CUACACUGUGCCUGUCCUCCAAACCCACUUACAGAUCCUCUUCUGCCCUUGGAGUUAUUAUUGCCCUCAAUUCAAGUGUCUGAAAGCAUGCCUGAUGAAAGGCAAUGCUCCAUUCCUGGCUAGCUGCCACUGGCCACACCCUACAAAGAAUCCCAACAGCCCAGUUCGAAGACUUGUCAUUAGAGAUGAUGUUCUAUCCAGCCAGCCAACAAUUCUCAAGCAGAGUGGCUCUAGAAACUCAGCUCUUGAAAACAUCACGGAGCUUUAUCAGUGAUAAGGCCAAGAGGUUGCAACUACUGUUAUCUUUGGACACACAAAAGAAUCACCUGGUCCAGAUCCAGUUCGUGGGAAGUUUCCAACUGCCCAGUCGGAGGUAUCUCCCUUCCACUGGAGACAUCAUGCUAACCAGAGAUCUGAGGUGUUCCAGAC
rnacentral:lncRNA from 10 species